ensembl:lncRNA
GUUACAGUAGAGAGAGUAGAGAGAGUUACAAUAGAGAGAGUUACAGUAGAGAUAGUAGAGAGAAUUACAGUAGAGAUAGUAGAGAGUAACAGUAGAGAGAGUAGAGAGUUACAGUAGAUAGAGUAGAGAGAGUUACAGUAGAGAGAGUAGAGAGAGUUACAGUAGAUAGAGUAGAGAGAGUUACAGUAGAGAUAGUAGAGAGAGUAACAGUAGAGAGAGUAGAGAUAGAGAGAGUAGAGAGUUACAGUAGAGAGUUACAGUAGAGAUAGUAGAGAGAGUAACAGUAGAGAGAGUAGAGAGAGUUACAGUUUAGAGAAGAGAGUUACAGUAGAGAGAGUAGAAAGUUAC